CACGUAGGGUGCGAGCGUUGUCCGGAAUUAUUGGGCGUAAAGAGCGCGUAGGCGGUUUGUCGCGUCUGCCGUGAAAGUCCGGGGCUCAACUCCGGAUCUGCGGUGGGUACGGGCAGACUAGAGUGAUGUAGGGGGAGACUGGAAUUCCUGGUGUAGCGGUGAAAUGCGCAGAUAUCAGGAGGAACACCGAUGGCGAAGGCAGGUCUCUGGGCAUUAACUGACGCUGAGGAGCGAAAGCAUGGGGAGCGAACAGG
rnacentral:rRNA from 1 species